rnacentral:rRNA from 1 species
UACGUAGGGUGCGAGCGUUGUCCGGAAUUAUUGGGCGUAAAGAGCUCGUAGGCGGUUUGUUGCGUCGGCCGUGAAAACUUGGGGCUUAACUCCGAGCUUGCGGUCGAUACGGGCAGACUUGAGUUCGGCAGGGGAGACUGGAAUUCCUGGUGUAGCGGUGAAAUGCGCAGAUAUCAGGAGGAACACCGGUGGCGAAGGCGGGUCUCUGGGCCGAUACUGACGCUGAGAAGCGAAAGCAUGGGGAGCGAGCAGG